UACAGAGGUCCCAAGCGUUGUUCGGAUUCAUUGGGCGUAAAGGGUGCGUAGGCGGCGCGGUAAGUCGGGUGUGAAAUCUCGGGGCUUAACUCCGAAACUGCAUUCGAUACUGCCGUGCUUGAGGACUGGAGAGGAGACCGGAAUUUACGGUGUAGCGGUGAAAUGCGUAGAUAUCGUAAGGAAGACCAGUGGCGAAGGCGGGUCUCUGGACAGUUCCUGACGCUGAGGCACGAAGGCCAGGGGAGCAAACGGG
rnacentral:rRNA from 1 species